GUGAAUCAUCGAAUUUUUGAACGCAAAUUGCACUCCCUGGUAUUCCGGGGAGUAUGCCUGUUUGAGGGUCGGUAGAAUAAAAAUCGAAGCGUCGCUCUUUUUUUUAGGGGUGAUCGCGUAGGUAUUGAGCCGUCUUUUAAAUGUUAUUGCUUGUAAAAGUGGCUUAAAUUCCAUCGAUCCG
rnacentral:misc_RNA from 1 species